CACGCCCAAUAACUUCCUGGCCCUUCUUCCACUUCCCUCCGGUUUGGAUGGUCCUGGAGUAUUUAGAAUAAGAAAAAUGGCCCCUCUUCCUGAGGGUGGUGCAGGGGUGGGAAAAAUUGUCUGUUCAAGGCCACAGGGGUAGUGGCUGCCAAGUAAUAAUGGAGACAUGGCUGCUGGCUGUGGAUAUAAUCUGUGAGGGGAUCUGCCUAACUAGGUCCAAAUUUAAGACUAACACAGUAUUGUCUUUCUAGCUGCGAAAAGGCACCAAGCACCCCAGCCCUUAUGCUACUCUCACUGUGGGAGAUACUUCUCAUAAAACCAAGACUGUUUCGCAAACUUCAGCCCCUGUCUGGGAUGAGAGUGCCUCCUUUCUCAUCAGGAAACCACACACUGAGAACCUAGAGUUGCAGGUUCGGGGUGAGGGCACUGGCGUGCUGGGCUCAUUAUCCCUGCCCCUCUCAGAGCUCCUCGUGGCUGACCAGCUAUGCUUGGACCGCUGGUUUACACUCAACAGUGGUCAGGGGCAGGUGCUACUGAGAGCACAGCU
rnacentral:sRNA from 1 species